CUCCGCUUCUACCAUGCAGNUCGAACGAUGAAUGCCCAGCCUUGCUGGGUGGAUUAGUGGCGAACGGGUGAGUAACACGUGAGUAACCUNCCCCUGACUCUGGGAUAAGCGUUGGAAACGACGUCUAAUACUGGAUAUGAUCACUGGCCGCAUGGUCUGGUGGUGGAAAGAUUUUUUGGUUGGGGAUGGACUCGCGGCCUAUCAGCUUGUUGGUGAGGUAAUGGCUCACCAAGGCGACGACGGGUAGCCGGCCUGAGAGGGUGACCGGCCACACUGGGACUGAGACACGGCCCAGACUCCUACGGGAGGCAGCAGUGGGGAAUAUUGCACAAUGGGCGAAAGCCUGAUGCAGCAACGCCGCGUGAGGGAUGACGGCCUUCGGGUUGUAAACCUCUUUUAGUAGGGAAGAAGCGAAAGUGACGGUACCUGCAGAAAAAGCACCGGCUAACUACGUGCCAGCAGCCGCGGUAAUACGUAGGGUGCAAGCGUUGUCCGGAAUUAUUGGGCGUAAAGAGCUCGUAGGCGGUUUGUCGCGUCUGCUGUGAAAUCCCGAGGCUCAACCUCGGGCUUGCAGUGGGUACGGGCAGACUAGAGUGCGGUAGGGGAGAUUGGAAUUCCUGGUGUAGCGGUGGAAUGCGCAGAUAUCAGGAGGAACACCGAUGGCGAAGGCAGAUCUCUGGGCCGUAACUGACGCUGAGGAGCGAAAGCAUGGGGAGCGAA
rnacentral:rRNA from 1 species